GAAAUAAAGGCCCAAAGAAACACUGGCACCAGACCAAGAAAGGCAAAAACACGGCCGUGGACAUUGAGUCAGUCGAUAUGAAGGAGUUGGCUCAGGCGCUGGAGGCUCCUAAAGAUGGUGCCAUGGAAAACUGACGGGGAGGCUCCUGAAGAUGGUGCCAUGAAAAACUGACAGGGAGGCUCCUAAAGACUUUGCCAUGAAAAACUGAUGGGGAGGCUCCUUAAGACACUGACAUGGUUCUGGUGGAUAGGGUGGUAGCUGUCAUUAACUGUGCUGCAGGAAUGUCAGGACUACAGUAUAUUAACUCACUAGUUUGCUGGGAAAAUUGUUGCCUUUGGUUGAUGAGUGUUUGCUCUGUAAAUUUUGGCUAUACACUUUAUAUAUACGUGUUUGUUCCAAUUGGGAAAAAAGUUUACUUUUGACUGAAGUUAAUAGUGAGUGUUCAGCUGCUGUUUUAUAUGCAUUUUACAUUGUAGUUGUUUUAUAUUCCAAUUAAAUAUUUCAUUUCUUGAC
rnacentral:misc_RNA from 1 species